GAUGAACGCUAGCGGCAGGCCUAAUACAUGCAAGUCGAACGAGAUUGAGGAGCUUGCUCCUCAUGAAAGUGGCGCACGGGUGCGUAACGCGUAUGCAAUCUACCUUAAUCAGGGGGAUAGCCCGGAGAAAUCCGGAUUAAUACCGCAUAACGUUAUUUUAUGGCAUCAUAGAAUAACCAAACAUUUAUGGGAUUAAGAUGAGCAUGCGUGACAUUGGUUAGUUGGUGAGGUAACGGCUCACCAAGACUACGAUGUCUAGGGGAUCUGAGAGGAUGACCCCCCACACUGGUACUGAGACACGGACCAGACUCCUACGGGAGGCAGCAGUAAGGAAUAUUGGUCAAUGGGCGCAAGCCUGAACCAGCCGUGCCGCGUGCAGGAAGACGGCCCUAUGGGUUGUAAACUGCUUUUAUUCGGGAAUAAACCUCUUUACGUGUAAGGAGCUGAAUGUACCGAAGGAAUAAGGAUCGGCCAACUCUGUGCCAGC
rnacentral:rRNA from 1 species